ensembl:rRNA 5S_rRNA 5S ribosomal RNA
CCGGCAGCAGCUAGCUCUCUGCAACUCUCACAUAUUCGCCCACUGAAGCUAAGCAGGGCUGCGCCUGGUCAGUACCUGGAUGGGAGACCACAUGGGAAAGCUGGGUUGCUGCUGGA